rnacentral:rRNA from 1 species
UACGGAGGAUGCAAGCGUUAUCCGGAAUGAUUGGGCGUAAAGCGUCCGCAGGUGGCUGUGUAAGUCUGCUGUUAAAGAGUGAGGCUCAACCUCAUAAAGGCAGUGGAAACUACAUAGCUAGAGUACGGUCGGGGUAGAAGGAAUUCCUGGUGUAGCGGUGAAAUGCGUAGAGAUCAGGAAGAACACCGGUGGCGAAAGCGUUCUGCUAGACCUGUACUGACACUGAGGGACGAAAGCUAGGGGAGCGAAUGGG